rnacentral:rRNA from 1 species
ACGAACGCUGGCGGCGUGCUUAACACCUGCAAGUCGAACGGAAAGGCCCUGCUUUUGUGGGGUGCUCGAGUGGCGAACGGGUGAGUAACACGUGAGUAACCUGCCCUUGACUUUGGGAUAACUUCAGGAAACUGGGGCUAAUACCGGAUAGGAGCUCCUGCUGCAUGGUGGGGGUUGGAAAGUUUCGGCGGUUGGGGAUGGACUCGCGGCUUAUCAGCUUGUUGGUGGGGUAGUGGCUUACCAAGGCUUUGACGGGUAGCCGGCCUGAGAGGGUGACCGGCCACAUUGGGACUGAGAUACGGCCCAGACUCCUACGGGAGGCAGCAGUGGGGAAUAUUGCACAAUGGGCGGAAGCCUGAUGCAGCAACGCCGCGUGCGGGAUGAUGGCCUUCGGGUUGUAAACCGCUUUCGCCUGUGACGAAGCGUGAGUGACGGUAAUGGGUAAAGAAGCACCGGCUAACUACGUG